AAUCACCAGGAAGUUGAAUAAAUCUCAUUGGAGUUAGGAUGAAGAAGCUACCACACUUUCACAUCAGGUGAUCCCAGUUUUUUUUGUUUGGGAAUAUGACAACUUCUUCGUCAUUAUUAUCAAAACAGGAUGAAUCACGAUGUAAGACGCUUGAUUUGGAUACAUAAAGUAUUGGAGAAUCACCAGGAAGUUGAAUAAAUCUCAUAGGAGUUAGGAUGAAGAAGCUAUCCCAGUUUU
rnacentral:lncRNA from 1 species